rnacentral:rRNA from 1 species
GUGCCAGCCGCCGCGGUAAUACGUAGGUGGCAAGCGUUAUCCGGAAUUAUUGGGCGUAAAGCGCGCGUAGGCGGUUUUUAAGUCUGAUGUGAAAGCCCACGGCUCAACCGUGGAGGGUCAUUGGAAACUGGAAAACUUGAGUGCAGAAGAGGAAAGUGGAAUUCCAUGUGUAGCGGUGAAAUGCGCAGAGAUAUGGAGGAACACCAGUGGCGAAGGCGACUUUCUGGUCUGUAACUGACGCUGAUGUGCGAAAGCGUGGGGAUCAAACAGGAUUAGAU